rnacentral:rRNA from 1 species
GACGUAGGGCGCGAGCGUGUCCGGAUUUAUUGGGCGUAAAGAGCUCGUAGGCGGCUUGUCGCGUCGAAUGUGAAAUCUCAGGGCUCAACUCUGACAUUGCAUUCGAUACGGGCAGGCUCGAGUUCGGUAGGGGAGACUGGAAUUCCUGGUGUAGCGGUGGAAUGCGCAGAUAUCAGGAGGAACACCGAUGGCGAAGGCAGGUCACUGGGCCACUACUGACGCUGAGGAGCGAAAGCAUGGGGAGCGAACAGG